rnacentral:lncRNA from 1 species
UUCCAACAGAAAGAUUCUAGAUCUUCUGUUUCAUCCCGAUUUCAGCACAAGUCACUUCUGACUUAUGUCUUACUUCUCUAAAUCCAAUAAAAAUAGUAUCUCACACUAUUUUUAUUUAUUUUCACUUUUACAUUUAAAAUUCGGUAUGUUACAUUCCACCGCAACCUUACCGGAACCUUUUAAAUGUACACCGUAACUUCAUAGUUUUAGAAAUCCGGUACCUUACAGUCCAACUUCUGUUUACCAUAU